rnacentral:rRNA from 1 species
UACGAAGGGGGCUAGCGUUGCUCGGAAUUACUGGGCGUAAAGCGCACGUAGGCGGCGAUUCAAGUCAGAGGUGAAAGCCCGGGGCUCAACCCCGGAACUGCCUUUGAAACUAGAUUGCUAGAAUCCUGGAGAGGUGAGUGGAAUUCCGAGUGUAGAGGUGAAAUUCGUAGAUAUUCGGAAGAACACCAGUGGCGAAGGCGACUCACUGGACAGGUAUUGACGCUGAGGUGCGAAAGCGUGGGGAGCAAACAGG